rnacentral:rRNA from 1 species
CCUACGGGUGGCAGCAGUGAGGAAUAUUGGUCAAUGGGCGCGAGCCUGAACCAGCCAAGUCGCGUGAGGGAAGACGGUCCUAUGGAUUGUAAACCUCUUUUGUCGGGGAGCAAAAGACGCCACGUGUGGCGUUCCGAGAGUACCCGAAGAAAAAGCAUCGGCUAACUCCGUGCCAGCAGCCGCGGUAAUACGGAGGAUGCGAGCGUUAUCCGGUUUUAUUGGGUUUAACGGGUGCGCAGGCGGAAGUUCAAGUCAGCGGUAAAAUUGAGAGGCUCAACCUCUAAGCGCCGUUGAAACUGGUUUUCUUGAGUGAGCGAGAGGUAUGCGGAAUUCGUGGUGUAGCGGUGAAAUGCAUAGAUAUCACGAAGAUCUCCGAUUGCGAAGGCAGCAUACCGGCGCUCAACUGACGCUCAUGCACGAAAGUGUGGGUAUCGAACAGGAUUAGAUACCCCUGUAGUC